CUUUCAGCAGUGAGGAAGGUGGAUAUGUUAAUAGCAUAUUCAUUUGACGUUAGCUGCAGAAGAAGCACCGGCUAACUCCGUGCCAGCAGCCGCGGUAAUACGGAGGGUGCGAGCGUUAAUCGGAAUUACUGGGCGUAAAGCGCAUGCAGGUGGUUUGUUAAGUCAGAUGUGAAAGCCCCGGGGCUCAACCUCGGAAUUGCAUUUGAAAACUGGCAAACUAGAGUACUGUAGAGGGGGUAGGAAUUUCAGGUGUAGCGGUGAAAUGCGUAGAGAUCUGAAGGAAUACCGGUGGCGAAGGCGGCCCCCUGGACAGAUACUGACACUCAGAUGCGAAAGCGUGGGGAGCAAACAGGAUUAGAUACCCUGGUAG
rnacentral:rRNA from 1 species